UACGAAGGGGGCUAGCGUUGCUCGGAAUCACUGGGCGUAAAGGGUGCGUAGGCGGGUCUUUAAGUCAGGGGUGAAAUCCUGGAGCUCAACUCCAGAACUGCCUUUGAUACUGAGGAUCUUGAGUUCGGGAGAGGUGAGUGGAACUGCGAGUGUAGAGGUGAAAUUCGUAGAUAUUCGCAAGAACACCAGUGGCGAAGGCGGCUCACUGGCCCGAUACUGACGCUGAGUGCACGAAAGCGUGGGGAGCAAACAGG
rnacentral:rRNA from 1 species